UACGUAGGCAGCAAGCGUUGUUCGGAGUUACUGGGCGUAAAGGGUGCGUAGGCGGCUUUUUAAGUCUGUUGUGAAAUCUCCUGGCUCAACCGGGAGGGUGCGGCGGAUACUGAGAAGCUAGAGUAUGGGAGAGGAAAGUGGAAUUCCUGGUGUAGCGGUGAAAUGCGUAGAUAUCAGGAGGAACACCUGUGUGUAGACGGCUUUCUGGACCAUAACUGACGCUGAGGCACGAAAGCGUGGGUAGCAAACAGG
rnacentral:rRNA from 1 species